GGUGGGCCAAGCAAAAUAUGUCUGCAAGCUUGUAGUGAUCCACAGGAUGUAAGAGUGUGGUCUCUGCUCUAGGGAAACAAAAGGGCAGGAGGUGGCCAGACUGAGAAGGACCAACUGUGAUGAGAGAGAACAGAGAGGAGGAGAAAUCAAGAAGGCUGUUGUUUGAUUUUCCUCCCAUCUUAUAACAUACACCCCAAAAGCUUGCGGGUAUCACCAUCAGAAGACGAACUUGAGUGGGGCUGGGGGAUAUUUGGAAGCCUGUGGGUGAAGAAUAACCAGUGGCCCAUUCUGGCAGCUGUUGACUUUGUACCCUCUGUUCCUGAGGGAGAAAAAGUGUUGUCAAAACAGGAAGAAAUUUCAUACCAGUAGCCCUUGGCAGGACGCUGUUCUUUGUUAAAGCACGCAUCUGAUCGCUGACAAUUUUUUUUUCCUUCUUUUCCCUUUUGACUCUGGGACAUAAGGGAUUGAGCACAAACUGGCAGUGAAUGAUAUCCCUCCCAACUUUGGUGAUUAUGUUCGUUAAUAAUGAUUAUCGCUUCUAUGUAAUAUUUGCAUGAUAAACUAUAGACAUCUGGUGCAGUGUGCAUGUGCGUGUGGUGUUUGUUGGAAAACAGAAGAAGCUCAAUGCUGAUGAAAUGUGAAAUCUAACCGUUUGGACUAAAAAUAAAGUCGGCAGGCUUUAGGAUUUCUGCAUGCCAGCAAUUCUGAACUGCUUACAUACGCCGUCUUAGUUACCGUGGAAACGCUUGGCUGUGCAUAUACAGACACAGAGUACACAAUUUGUGGGCCUGGCCCCUGGGGGUCCCAUUACCAAAUUUUGUAUGUUUAGAAAUAUUUUGUAAUAAGGCCCCUUGUGUCACUUAUUAGUGAUAAAAUGUACAACUGCCUUCAUCAGCGUCAACCUCAAAUUUGUUUCUUAUUGAAAUGAACCAGCAUGCUUUCAGACUGGGUUUUACCAUGUUGGCUCAGGUCUCGAACUCCCAAGCUCAAGUGAUCCACCAUUCUUUGCAAUGAGAUCAUGAGAGCUCUGUUCCUCUCCACAUGAUUGCCUACUUUCCUCUCUGCUGCCCGAUCAUAAGGCAGGACUUCUCCAUUUGCCUCCCCUCCAAGCCCAGUAAUGAGGAAUCCAGUAUAGAAUAAUUAGACUGUCUGCGUUUGAGGUGCCUGCCAAUUAUGCUGAUGGAACUGAAGUCUUAUUAGACUAAUAAGGUUUUCUAAAUUGGACCUGGGGUUCUUGGUGAUGUGAGUAUUCCUGAGAGAAGUUGCUCAAGUAUUGAAAAUGAGUUUACCUAAGGAUAAAGUUUCACCUUGGAUGAACUAGAGUGAGAAGUGAGUUCACACAUGAAUUUUGCCACUCAUCUGCUAUGGGACCUCGGACAAACAUUUAAAUUUACAGGUGGGGAAUCAGUCUCUGGCCCUAUCGGUAAAAUGGCAAAAUUAAUUCCCACACACCUGAAAAGAUUAUGAGGAUAAUGAAAUAAUCUAAAAAAAAAGUAUAAUGUGAUAUUUUAUAUUAAUUAUCUUAUAAACCUUAACUUUAAGCAUGGUUACUUACUUAUUCUACAUAGUAAACAAUAAAAUACAGGUAAUUUUAUUAUUAUUGUUACAAAUGUCUCAUAAUCUUGAAGAGUUUUGCAGACAGAGAAACCUACAUGUGAAUUUCAUUCGCAACAUUGACAAAUACUGUUUUGCCUCUCUUAACCUUGGU